rnacentral:ncRNA from 1 species
CUUGAAAAACACGGGAGCUGGGCGCACGCCCGGCUGAGAAUCCGCAACACGCGGUAAACCGUCGAACCUGAUCCGGGUAAUACCGGCGAAAGGAAGGAUAAUGACAAAUCGU